UGUGUUUAUCUGCUGAAGAGACACUGAUGAAGAAAUGCUGCCAUCGAAGGAUUUGUAUCUUUUGUGGUGGAGCAGGACCUGCAAGGAAAGGUGAAAAAAAGGAAAAACCUGAAACAAAAGAAUAAAUUAAUGACUUUUUGUAUUGUGUGUGUGUAUUUUUGUAGGAUGAGGAACAUGUCUGCAGACUGGUGUGUGUACAGUAAGGAUGGAGAUGUUCACAGCAGCAUCCUGGAAAUGGUCCAGUGACACAGAUGAGAUGCUUCAUCUCUCCACCUGCCCUUACUGUCUCAUCAGGACCAGAUGUUGCUGUGGUCUCUUCAUCAUCAGUGACCCCAGAGCAGCGAGAGGAUCUAGAGAAAGACCAAAAGACACUGAGGAUGUGAUUUUGGUAUUGGUGCUCAUGGAGAGCAGGCACACGAUUGUUUGGAGCAGACAC